rnacentral:pre_miRNA from 9 species
UCUCGAUAGCGUAAAAGUUAACUCAAAUUUGUAUACAGUUGGAUCGUUUGCCUACGUUUGCCUCUAGGUUCGUUUUCCAACUGCAUACGAAUUUAAUUUAACUUUUACGCUAUCGA